GAUGAAGAACCUAGCGAAAUGCGAUACGUAAUGUGAAUUGCAGAAUUCAGCGAACCAUCGAAUCUUUGAACGCACAUUGCGCCCGCCAGUAUUCUGGCGGGCAUGCCUGUCCGAGCGUCAUUUCCCCCCUCACGCGCCCCGUUGCGCGCUGGUGUUGGGGCUCCUCCGCCUGGCGGAGGGCCCCGAAAGCGAGUGGCGGGCCCGGCUGGUUGGCUCCGAGCGCAGUACCGAACGCAAGUUCUCCCCUCGCUCAGACGCCCCGCCGGCGCCCUGCCGUCAAAACGCGCAUGACGUGCAACUCUUUUUACAAGGUUGACCUCGGAUCAGGUAGGACUACCCGCUGAACUUAAGCAUAUCAAUAAGCGGAGGA
rnacentral:misc_RNA from 1 species